GGAGAAUUGGGAGCCCCGGGUCCUCCUGGAGUCCUUGGACUCAUUGGUGACAUGGGCUCUGUUGGACCUAUAGGCUAUCCAGGACCAAAAGGCUUAAAGGGGCUGAUGGGAAACCCUGGAGAACAUGGACUGAAAGGUGAUAAGG